AAUACUUUACAGCAAUACGACAAAAAAUAAUUACAUGAACGGAACUGGUCUUCUCCGUUCUUGGAUGGGACUGGAGAGAAUCCAACAUCCCCAGAUAAAUCACAACGAAUAGCUCAUAGAUUGAGACCUGUCAACAGCUAGACUACAUCUUUACCAAAAAAUAAAAAUAAAAACAGCUAGACUACAUGGCUUGAUAUGAAAUAAACAAGCAGCAAGUGUCCAAGAAGAAAAUCUCAAUCCUUUGAACACCGACUGCUCCUGGUAUAGGUUUCUUAUAUCCUCCUCA
rnacentral:lncRNA from 1 species